rnacentral:lncRNA from 1 species
UUUUCACUUCCUCUGAACAAUAUCAAACAAAACGUGGACUUUUAAACGUUUUUAAAACAAAAUCUUUCCACAUCCCCUAGACUGUUAAAAUAAUCUGGGAAGCAUGCAGCAUUGUAAAACUGACUCAUAUUCAUUUUCUCAUCCAAUUCCACAAUUACUUAUUAGAACUUAUGAUGGGCUGCUCUAAGAUCUAAGACAUAGUGGUAAAGAUGACACAUAGGGCCCCUGGCUUUCACAAAGCUUACAUUCCAACGAAGACAUCAGGAAAACUAAGUAAUCUGCUUAUAGACAGAUGCUCUAUAAAGAAAUCUAGGGCUGGGCGUGGUGGCUUAUGCCUGUAAUUCCAGCACUUUGGGAGGCAGAGGCGGGUAAAUCACCUGAGGUCCGGAAAUUGAGACCAGCCUGACCAACAUGGAGAAACCCCGUCUCUACUAAAAAUACUAAAUUAGCCAGGUGCGCUGGCAUGUGCCUGUAAACCCAGCUACUCAGGAGGCUGAGGGAGGAGAAUCGCUUGAACCCAGGAGGCAGAGGUUGCGGAGCCGAGAUGGUGCCACUGCACUCCAGCCUGGGCAACAAGAGCGAAAAUCCGUUUCAAAAUAAAAAAUAAAAUCUACACAAGAGGUAGAGAGGUGAUGUGAAAACUCAGGAAAAUGGAACAGACUAGUUAAGGAACUUACAAUAUCCUUAAGAUUUAGACAUCACCAGUUGAAUUUAAAAACUCAAAACAGAGAUUCUGGUUAAGUAGAAACUUGACUUUUAAUCUAGCUUCUACACACAAGGCUUGGGAAGUUGCUUAUUCAACAAUUUAACAAAAAUUAACGAUGUAAUUCCAAUCAAAUCUAAACCUCUAGCCACAAAACCUUAAAUUCAAGGUGCUGAUCUUAAUCUAAAAAACCUCAUGUGGUUUGGGUUCUGGUUACCUUAGAGAUUUGACUCUAAGCACCCAAAGGCAAUUAAGAUUAGAUGAAAUACUUGGCCGAUGGUUCACUACUGAAACCUGAUGAACUGGAAUCCUCUGAUUUUGUGUGUCUCUUUUCAGAUAGGGUGACCAACCAUUCUGGGGUUUUGUUUGUUUGUUUGUUUUUCAGACACAGUCUCAGUCUGUCACCCAGGCUGCAGUGCAUUGGCACAAUCUUGGCUCACUGCAAGCUCUACCUCCUGGGUUCAAGCGAUUCUCCUGCCUCAGCCUCCCAAGCAGCUGGGAUUACAGGCGUGCAUCACCAUGUCAGGCUAUUAUUAGAGACGGGGUUUCACCAUUUUGGCCAGGCUGUUCUCAAACUCCUGACCUCGUGAUCUGCCCACUUCAGCCUUCCAAAGUGCUGGGAUUACAGGAAUGAGCCACGGCGCUUGGUCCCAUUCUGGGUUUGACUGGGACCAAGGGGUUUCCUGAGAGCGGCCAGACUUUCACUGCUAAUACUGGCAAAGUCCUGGGCAAACCAGGACUGGUCACGCUAUCUUCGGCCACAUUUUAGAAACUGAUAUUUUAACAGCCACCUUUUUCAACUCUGGACUUUGUGGCAACUCUACAGAGCUUUAAUAUGGAUCAACUACUAAAAACAAGAACCUUCCCUAAAGAAAAGCAUGUUAAUGUCACACAUGGUUUUUACCAAUCAGGUGGAAGCAGUAAUUUUUCCCUAUAUAUUUUACCAUUUAUUUUACUUUUAAACACAAAAAUCCUGAGCCAAACACUACUUGAAGAACUGUUAAGGAAUUCAGAUUCACGUUUAGGAAAUAAUGAUUCAAAAUUAAAAUGUCUUUAAAGAUCAGUUUUCAACGACUGAUAGAUGUAACAACUUGGACAAAUCGCUCUCAACCCAAUCUGGCUGGGUAAAGGAAGCCAGUGUGCAAAGGCGACAUACUGUGUAAUUCCAUUUAUGUAACAUCCUAGAAAAGGUAAAACUAUAGUGAUGGACAACAGAUCGGUGACAGCCAGGGGUUAGGGGUGGAAACAGCACAGGUCUAUAAAGACAGCAAAAUAAAGUGAUAGACCUGGCCUAUAUUCUCGUGUUGGUGAUUACAACAAAUAAAUACUAUGUUAAAAAUCACAGAACGGUAUACUGAAAAAAAAAAGUCACUUUUACUACAUAAUUCUAAGGUUUUUUUUUAAAUCAGUGAUGAUUUCAAAAAUAUACCGAUUUUAUCAUUUACUGAGGUACUGUGCUACGGCCCCCCUCCUGUUUUUAUGUUCACCCAAUGUUAUGAGAUAAUUACUAUUAACCCUAUUUGAGAAGGAAAACUUGAGGCUCAGAGGUUCAGUAACAUGCCCGAAGCCAUACAGUGUGUAAGGGACGGACCAUAAUUCCAACCCAGAUCUGAUUCCAAAGGCUAUAUUCUCAACCACUACCAAACACUACACUCUCCCCCCUCUGUUCAUAAAUAUCAACCACUCUAUCCCUCCCAAUGACAAUAUCAGGAGGCUAUUGUUUCCUAAUUCUAUUCUGAACUCAAUACACUAUUGAUAACGUGAAAAUAGGGAGAAGCAAAACAUGAUUCUAGAGCAGUGAUGUCCAACUGAACUUUCUCCAAUAAUAGAAAUGUUUUAUAUUAUCUGUGCUGCCCAAAUAUGGUAGCCUCUAGCCACAGGUGGCUACUCAGCACACAUGGCUAGUGUGACACUGAGUUGAACUGGACAGCACAGUUCUAGAGAAAUGAUGUGACAAGAAUGUACAUGUCACAGAAGGAAACAAUUUAUUAAAUUAUGAUGGUAACUCACCAACGAUAAAAGGAAAAUAAUUCAAGGGAGAUGUAUAGUAAAGGAAUGAAGCUAAGAAAUGCACCACCCCCAAAGCACAUCACAAAACUAAGUCUAUCUUUUUUUUUUUUUUUUUUUUUGAUACAGAGCCUCGCUCUGUCACCAGGCUAGAGUGCAGUGGCAACAUCUCGGCUCACUGCAACCCUCCAACUCCCUGGUUCAAACGCUUCUCCUGCCUCAGCCUCCCGAGUAGCUGGGAUUACAGGCAUGCACCACCACGCCCAGCUAAUUUUUGUAUUUUUAGUAGAGACGGGGUUUCACCAUGUUGGCCAGGAUGGUCUCGAUCUCCUUACCUCAAGUGAUCCACCCGCCUCGGCCUCCCAAAGUGCUGGGGUUACAGGCGUGAGCCACCGCACUUGGCCACUAAGUCUAUCUUCUGAACACCUGCUCACCGACCAAGAUUCAGCUUAAAGUUAUCUACAUACCCACAGCACUCUGCACAUCUGCAGUAUAGAAUAAAUUGUACUAAGUAUCUGUGUUUUUCUCCCCCAGUGGACUGUGACCACCUGAAGAGCAGAGAUAGGUAUUCAUAUAUGCACCACUAGCAUCCAAUACCUAUACGCAGAUGUUUUCUGCAACAAUAAACACCUUUUUCACUCAGUUCGAGUGGGAAAAUGAUCAUCUUAGAUCCUUUAACUACAAAUUCAACUCAAUUCUGCAAGCAAUUGAGUACCAGGAGUGUACAUAAAAAGAAGUACCUGCCCUCAGGGAGCUUACAGUGAGAGUGAGAGAUACAAGAUAUAGGGAGACAAGUAACAAGCAAAAAGGGUAAUCAAAAUUAAUUGUGUACAAACAGUACUUUAGGUCAGAAUAGAAACAGUCAGGAAUCAUAGUGGUAAGGGAAAACUGAAAAAUGAUUUAAGUAGCCAUUAUCCGGCCAGGCGCAGUGGCUCAUGCCUGUAAUCCUAGCACUUUGGGAGGCCAAGGCAGGUGGCACACCUGAGGUCAGGAGUUCGAGACCAGCCUGGCCAACAUGGUGAAACCCCAUCUCUACUAAAAAUACAAAAAUUAGCCGGGUGUGGUGGUGCACGCCUAUAAUCCCAGCUACUCAGGAGGCUGAGGAAGGAGAAUCACUUGAACCCGGGAGGUGGAGGUUGCAGUAAGCCAAGAUUGUGCCACUACACUCCAGCCUGUGAGAUGGGAGUAAGACUCCAUCUCAAAAAAAAAAAAAAAAAAAAAAAAAAAAGUAGCCAUUAGCCCAUUCCGUGAAGCAAAGGUGUAAGAUAACUUAUUGUAUCCCAACCUAUAAUUUAGAAAAGCCUAAUGGAUUAAAAAAAUUUUUAAGGAAGUCUUUAGAAAUUUAUCCUGCCUUCGCUCACUACCAAUGUCAUCCUAUUCCUUUUAUCACUAAGCUAAAACUAGUCUUAGAACAAAAUCCUUCCAGAUCCAAAAUUUCUAUGAAAAUUUCACAGCAUAAAGAAGUGUAGUCUUCUUUACACUUAAAUUCUCAUCAUCUUUAAGUCACAACAUCCUUUUGGGUUCUCAAAAUGUGCUAAUUGGAAUUAGUUUGCACAGUACAUCUCAUAGUGAGUAUACAGGCAGCAUCUGGAAUGGUCUAUUCAAAGUAGUUUGAAUUCAUUUAAUAAGUACAUUUCCUGUUUCCUCUAAAAAUGAACAGGAGGGGUGCUAGUAUGAGGAAUCUAGACACCAAGCAUUAUCUGAAUUUUAAAGUGUAUUAUAAUAUGGAGGUCUGCAAACUAGAAGACUGGCGAACAGUUCUACAGUGUAACUUCUUAAUUUUCUCAUCUUUAUCAGCUCACAUGUUAUUCAUGACAAAGGUCAGAGAAAAUUUGUGAGGUUUUCCUAGACUGAAUGACCUUGGGCUGCUUAAUUACUUAAAUUCUUUGAGCCUGCUUUUUCAAAUUGAAGACUGAGAAGGAAGUGUGACUAGAUGCCCUCAGAGAAAAAAACUGACUUAAUUAACUAAGAUAAUUACUUAUAGGUUGAUUUCAGCAUGGCUUUUGGUGCAAUCCUAACUCAUCUUUAAAAUGGAAAAACAGGCCAGGGUGGUGGCUCAUGCCUGAAAUCCCAGCACUUUGGGAGGCUGAGGCAGGUGGAUCACCUGAGUUCAAGAGUUCGAGACCAG